GGGGUGUGCUCAGAGUCGGGGGCCUGGGCUUGUCUCUGUGCAACACACCCAACAGGAACUUGGGUUCUUUGUGAAGAGGGGUGCAAAACUUGUGUGGCCUUGCUAUGAACAAAUACCCAACACAU
ensembl:snoRNA